UACGGCGAGUGAGAGGGAAGAGCCCAAGAUUGAAAGCUGGCGUCUUCGGCGUCCGCAUUGUAAUCUCAAGAAGUGUUUUCCGCUUCGGACCAAGCCUAAGUCCCCUGGAAAGGGGCAUCAUAGAGGGUGAUAAUCCCGUACAUGGCUUGGAGCGCCCGAGGCUUUGUGAUACGCUUUCUAAGAGUCGAGUUGUUUGGGAAUGCAGCUCAAAAUGGGUGGUAAAUGCCAUCUAAGGCUAAAUAUUGGGGAGAGACCGAUAGCGAACAAGUACAGUGAUGGAAAGAUGAAAAGAACUUUGAAAAGAGAGUUAAACAGUACGUGAAAUUGCCAAAAGGGAAGGGUAGGAGGUCAGAGAUGCGGCCUGGGAUUCAGCCUUGCUUUUGCUUGGUGUUUUUCCCAGAUUGCAGGCCAACGUCGGUUUUGGGCACUGGAGAAGGGUAGGAGGAACGUGGCACCCCUCGGGGUGUGUUAUAGCCUCCUACUGGAUACAGCGACCGAGACCGAGGACAGCAGCGUACUCGCAAGAGCGGGCCUUCGGGCACCUUUACGCUUAGGGCGUUGGCAUAAUGGCCCUCUACCACCCGUCUUG
rnacentral:rRNA from 1 species